rnacentral:lncRNA from 1 species
AUGGCUUGGAUCCUUCCUUCAAACCUGCAACACAACCAGUCAAAGCAUGUCGUGUCUUCCAUAUGCAUGAAGGGAGAGCCAGUGCUCAGGGGACGGAGCGGGAUGAACUCGCUCCUCGGGGAACUGUCUCUCUCUGUGACUGUCUGUCUGUCUGUCGCGCUCUCAGUCACCGUUCGUUUCACUGCAUCAAGCUUUUCACAGAUUCAGUGGUGUUACUUUUUAAAGAACACCACGAGCUAGAAAGAAAAAGAAAGAGUGUGUGAGGAGAGA